rnacentral:rRNA from 1 species
UGCUGAAUUAUUCGCCAAUGCGCGAAAGCGUGACGGUGCGACGCCGCGUGCGGGACGAAGGCCUUCGGGUUGUAAACCGCUGUCAGGGAUCAGAAAACCGGGAUGGUUAAUAGCCAUUUCGUUGAUCAGUCCCAAAGGAAGCACAGGCUAACCUCGUGCCAGCAGCCGCGGUAAUACGAGGUGUGCGAGCGUUGUUCGGAAUCACUGGGCAUAAAGGGUGCGUAGGCGGUGCGCCAAGUCGGGUGUGAAAUCCCUUCGCUCAACGGAGGAAUUGCAUUCGAUACUAGCGUGCUAGAGGGUAAAAGGGGCAAGCGGAAUUCUAGGUGUAGCGGUGGAAUGCGUAGAUAUCUGGGAGAACGCCGAGGGCGAAGGCAGCUUGCUGGGUUACUUCUGACGCUGAGGCACGAAAGCUAGGGGAGCAAACA